rnacentral:lncRNA from 1 species
AAGAACUCCCAAGUUCUCUCACAUAUGCACAUACCUCACCACCCCCCGCAGGAAAUACAUGAUCAUGCGUCUGAGAUAUCACCAGUUCACCUUUAGCAGCUCGCAGUUUGUAGGCAGAUUUCUGUUAAGCUCAGCACCUUGCCACAGUAGCCUUGGCAGAAUGGCCUCACGGUUAGGGAAACUCCUGAUUCUAAGCUUGGGAGAGCUACGCUUAGAUUUGAAUUCACCCAGGAAGCAUUCAAAUCAAGGCUAAAGACAUAAAUGUGAAAUAAAACUGUGAACCUUCAUUCUAAAGUUCAUCUGACUUCCCAGAUUUGAUCAAUAUAUUCUUAGGUGGUAUUAAAAAUGGUAAACUGCUUAAUUUAAAUCUCAAAAUUUAAAUUAUGAGGUUUACAUAAAAACCAACAUUUCAUGAAUGCACUUUUAAGGUAU